UCAUGAUCUUCACCAUGAACGUGGUGGUGGCUGGUAAAUCAAAGAUGGUUUCGUGCUCCUCUGUUUCUAGGUUAGAUUUGUUCAUCCAUCACUCUGUUUCUGAUCUGAUUCUUCUGGUUUACUUUCUUUUUUAUGUUACAGUUCAUAUCGUUUAAGUAUUCGUUUCUUGAAGAAAGAGACAUUUGUAUGUAGUGGAUACAAUAAGUUUGAUUUUCAAUAUUAUUUUCAGGAUUAUCUGUGUAUUUUUCGUAAUUUCUUGUGUUCACAAGAAUUUUUGAUUAGCUGAUAACGAAGCUUGUAUAAUUUUAAUAUAGGUUGGCGUGGAGCUACAUGGGAAGCUCAUUGUGGAGAAGAUGCUUUGUCUAAUAGAGUAUUAUACAACUUGGUCAAGUUUGCUCUAGAUGAAGAAUUAAAGUGGUGAGUUUUCCUACAAAUUAGAUCCUUUGUUGAACUAUAUAUGUGUUUGUUUUUUUUUUCUUUUGUGCUAAUUAUUUAGUUGCUUGAUGGUGUAUUAGUGUGUUAUGGUUCUUCAUAGUUACCAGUUUCAGAAUCACAAAUUAACCUUAAAGUACCACUAAUUAAGGAAGCGACUCAGAGGUAUGUUAAUGUACGGAUCUUAGUUUUUUCCAAAUAUAUCGUCUUUAAUCAUUUUUCUGCUUCGUCUUUUGAUUCUUAUCUUUAUACUUUGCAUGUUCUGUCAUGUUUCUUAUGCUGCAGCCAAUUCCAUAGUCUAAAAUUGUUGACAAUCAGUUGAAGAUUGUUGACA
rnacentral:lncRNA from 1 species